GCAUCAACUGUUUCAGUACUGAUUAAUUUCAUUUGUUUAUAUAAUAAGUUUUGAGAAAACAAGCUACCAUUUGUGUUUGUGAUUGAAGGGUUAAUUAGUUCGGCUUGAUAAAUAUAUUAGGAAAAAAUAUAUAUACAGGAGCCUUUGCAACAUCCAAAUUAGUUUUAGUUUUAAUAUUUUAUUCAAGAUUAUUCUCAGUUGAUAACAUAUCUCUAUUUAUUCUUGUUCUUUCUUAAUAACAUCCAUGCACAC
rnacentral:misc_RNA from 1 species